UAGAGAGAGAGGACAGCAGGUCAGUGUGGAAUUAUCCCAGCUUGUUAAAGUGGAUUUGGACUGUGGUAAGUGUGAGUUGCAGCGAGUUGCUCAGCUCAGACAACGGGCAAAAGUUUUUUCCUACUCACUGUCCACCGCCAUAGCCGUAUUCUAGUACAGCAGUCAUCCCUUCAGCUCGGAGGAGUGUUUGGUCUGUUGCUGUUGGACUUUCUGGGAAGGAGAGCAGCGGUCUGCAGAGUUCGGGGAGGUCUGAGUUGGAAGAAAAUUUCCGUCGCCGAGGGUCCAAUGGUCGUCUUGCAUGCUGCCUGUCUGCCAUCUACCUGCCAUCAGCUCAUCAUCAUCCCGCCCGCUUGUCCCGUCAGCAUCGAAGUGCACUUCUUUGUAUUCUUAUUGCCUGAACUAGGACACUUUUUUCAGUUUGAAGAAAACCCCUCAAAGUGAUCUUGAGAUAUCGCGACUAUAAGAAUGGCCUUGAUGGACAGACAACCGUCAAACACCAUCUUUCCAUCCCUGGCUAUUGCCUGCAUACAAACUGCUUCUCUGGAUUUUCUAGGCUUUUUGCUGAACAGCUGUUUAGGUCUACAGGCUCUGUCAGAGGAAACAACAAGGGGACUUUACAACACUGACACUUCUUCAGGGCAUUUCGAGGACAGCAGCUCACAGACG